GUGUUGUAUGAAAGGAGAGAAGGUUAAAACCCUCUGGAUGAAGAGAGAACACAAAAAACACAAAAGGUAUUUU
rnacentral:ncRNA from 1 species